CCCUUGCUAGGUUCUAGAGGCCUGUGAACUGCAUUACCCGGAAAAAAACGGCCAGUUCGUGGGCACCCCUGGGCCAAUGAAGGCUCAGGAAGGAGUCACUUCCGUUCUAGAGGACGGAUCUGGGCGGCUUUUCCGGCGUCGGCUGAGGUCGUUAUUUUGUAAAGUCGGCUGUGUUCACAGGCGGGGAACUUCGCAACGCUGUGAAGGCCAGAGGUCAGGGAGCCAGGAGGGCGCCGUGCCCGCUUCUCUGAGCGUCGUCUGAGGCUCGGCGUGGGCGCCAUCCGGCCUGACUCCGUCUUGGGCGGUUGGUGCCGCAGCUUCGCCCACAAACUCCGCUGGCGCCGUCGCAGAUGUGUCGGAUUCAGGGCCCUGUGACCUUUGAGGACGUGGCUGUGUACUUUUUCCAGGAGGAAUGGAAGCUUCUUGAUGAGGCCGAGAGAUUCCUGCACCAUGAUGUGAUCCUGGAGCCCUUUGCACUUGUUGCAUCAUUGGGUUGUUGGCAUGGAGCAGAGGUCAAGGAGACAUCUUCUGAGCAGAAUGUUUCUGUAGAAGUGCCACGAAUAAAUACUUCAGAGACCUGGCCAUCCAGAAGUCCUGUCCCUGGAAGAUGUGUAGCCUGGCCUUAAACAGUAAGUUUGCAUCUAGCUGAAGACCUGGGAACAAUUCCUGGCCAGAAACUGUGUGUGUCAGGUGUGAACUUUCACCCGCACAGUGGAGGGAAACUCUUUAGAAGAGACAUGGGUAAGGCCUUUAUGAGGAGCCACAUAGUCCAUGCAUCCAAGAACUCUUUCAACAUGCCAGGAGGCUGGGAAGGAUUUGCCUGGUAGCUCUAGCCUUCUCCAACCCCAGGUCACUCCACAAAAGGAUGCUGACUGCACAGUGGUGUUUCACAAAGUGCCAUAAUUCUUCAGCCAAAGCACCCAGCUUACUGAACACCAAACAGGUCACACCACAGAAAAAGACCACAAGUGCAGCAAAUGUAAGAAAGCUUUCAGCCAAAGGGUCUAUAAGCUCAUCUGUCACCAGAGUUCACACUGGAGAAAGGCCUUCAGAUGAGAUGAGGAGAGCAGCAAAUGAGCCGUCUCCCUAUUUAAUACAUCAUACUGAAUAGGCUCUGUGAGCAACCAUCAGUGGAAGUUGAAUGCCGUACAUCUGAACAGCCCUAGUGUGCAGAUUGCCUGUGAGUACGAGGUUUGUAGGAAGCUUUUCAGGAGCUAUGCUCUGUCACUGUGUGCUUCUUACGUUUUCCAAGUGGCAGAUCCCCGUACUGGGGCUCAGUCAUCUAAGGGUGAUCAGGGUAGGUAGCCUUUUGUGCUCUUGUAUCCCCUGUGCACUUGGGUUUUGUCAUUCUCUUCCAGCAGCUGGCUAGGACAGGACAGAGGAACCGGUUUUGUGGGUGUUCCAAACUUAGUAUAUACCUCACGGGGUGGUAUCAUGGCAGAGAAUAGUUUUCACUCCAGUUCUGGUCCAUUUUGCAUUGUUGUCCAAGGCCUUCUGGGGUACAGUGCAGGGCUCUCUGUGGGACUAAAACAGGGAAUUAUAGGGAGUGAGAGACUACCACAGAAGAAGGAAUAAAAUACAAAGUUGCAUUCAUGUAUGUUCCCAUCACUGUGGCUGUUUUGCGUUAAGGUUUUUGCAGAAACCUCCUGAGCCCCAAUCAGUGUCAGACUGAAUAACGUAAAGGUUUUAGGAUUCCCUCAAGGCCAUUUGAUGCAUAGUGAAAACAAUGGGGAAUGAGCAUGGAAAUCGUGUAGUACAGGCAUGUGAUUUUUAGGACCCAGGCAGAGUUCUUGGAUACUUAAGUGGAAACACUUUUCAGGGACUCCCCUAGUGGCACAGUGGUUAAGAAUCCACCUGGCCUGAUCCCACAUGCCUCAGAGCAACUAGGCCUGUGUUCCACAACUACCAGAGCCUGUGCUCUGCAACAAGAGGGGCCACCACAAUGAAGCCCACACACCACAACAAAGAGUAGCCCCCUGCUCACCACAGUUAGAGAAAGCCCAGGUGCAGCAACAAGCAAAAAUAAAUUUUAAAAUCUUCAUUGCUACUGCUACAGAAUCCCUCCCAUGAGGUAAGGAGUCAGGGAUGGGGUUAUAAUGUGUGGUUUGCCAGAGUAAGAUUCAGGGGGAUCUUUGCUCCUGCAAGGCACAUGGUACACCACCACCUCCAAAAGGAGCCAAAAUUUAAUUGAGCUGUAUAGGGUAUGGACUGAAUUUGAACAUACUUAAUAAGAUGUACAGCUUGAUUAAAUUUUAAUACAUGUAAACACCCAGAACCAUCAUAAUUACAAACAUCCACCAUCAACUGCCACACCCACCUUCAGACACUCCCCCCCGCCAACUACUAUUUGAUUUCCUUUUUUCCCAUUCAAUUAGUGUUUUCUAGACUUUUAAUAUCAUUAUUUCAUAUUCUAAUUUUUUUUUUUUUUGGCCACAUCACACACCAUGGGGCAUCUACCCCAACCAGGGAUCAAACCUGUGGCCCCUGCAGUGGAAUACAGAGAGUCUUACCCCUGGACCAGGGAAGCCCCUGGUUUCAUAUUUCAAAAUGAAUGAACAGGGUUGUAGCCUUUUUGCAUUCUAACCAUAUAGGAACCUUCCAUCCCCUGUGUUCCUCACCAGUAGUGGGUUGGUAUGGUCACUGUUUUGAACAUUACCAGUUUUAAAAGUGUGGAUACAGGCCUCACUGUGGUCUGACGCCUUUCCCUAGUGAUUCAUGAUGUUGAACAUUCCUUGUUUAUUUGCCAGGUGAUUGUCUUCUAUGAUUAAAUGUCUUUUUAUUAGUAACUGUGGAGAGAAUAAAAAGAAAUGUGUUGCAACUUGAUUUUUCUCAGUAGAAUAAACGUUUAG